rnacentral:rRNA from 1 species
UACGUAGGUGGCAAGCGUUAUCCGGAAUUACUGGGCGUAAAGCGCACGCAGGCGGUCUUUUAAGUUUGACGUGAAAGCUCCCGGCUUAACUGGGAGAGGUCGUUGAAGACUGGAAGACUUGAGGCAAUGAGAGGGGUGUAGAAUUCCCGGUGUAGUGGUGGAAUGCGUAGAUAUCGGGAAGAACACCAGUGGCGAAGGCGGCUAACUGGUCCAGCACUGACGCUGAGGUGCGAAAGCGUGGGGAGCAAACAGG